rnacentral:rRNA from 1 species
GACGAACGCUGGCGGCGUGCCUAAUACAUGCAAGUAGAACGCUGAAGAGAGGAGCUUACUCUUCUUGGAUGAGUUGCGAACGGGUGAGUAACGCGUAGGUAACCUGCCUUGUAGCGGGGGAUAACUAUUGGAAACGAUAGCUAAUACCGCAUAACAAUGGAUGACACAUGUCAUUUAUUUGAAAGGGGCAAUUGCUCCACUACAAGAUGGACCUGCGUUGUAUUAGCUAGUAGGUGAGGUAAUGGCUCACCUAGGCGACGAUACAUAGCCGACCUGAGAGGGGGAUCGGCCACACUGGGACUGAGACACGGCCCAGACUCCUACGGGAGGCAGCAGUAGGGAAUCUUCGGCAAUGGGGGCAACCCUGACCGAGCAACGCCGCGUGAGUGAAGAAGGGUUUCGGAUCGUAAAGCUCGGUUGUAAGUCAAGAACGGGUGUGAGAGUGGAAAGUUCACACUGUGACGGUAGCUUACCAGAAAGGGACGGCUAACUACGUG